AGCGAACGCUGGCGGCAGGCUUAACACAUGCAAGUCGAGCGGGCACUUCGGUGUCAGCGGCAGACGGGUGAGUAACACGUGGGAACGUACCCUUUGGUUCGGAAUAACGCUGGGAAACUAGCGCUAAUACCGGAUACGCCCUUUUGGGGAAAGGCUUGCUGCCGAAGGAUCGGCCCGCGUCUGAUUAGCUAGUUGGUGGGGUAAUGGCCUACCAAGGCGACGAUCAGUAGCUGGUCUGAGAGGAUGAUCAGCCACACUGGGACUGAGACACGGCCCAGACUCCCACGGGAGGCCGCAGUGGGGAAUAUUGGACGCUGCGCGCGAGCCUGAUCCAGCCAUGCCGUGUGAGUGUUGAAGGCGUUAGGGUUGUAAAGCUCUUUUGACCGGGACGAUAAUGACGGUACCGGAAGAAUAAGCCCCGGCUAACUUCGUG
rnacentral:rRNA from 1 species